rnacentral:snRNA from 1 species
UUAGCUCUCUUUGCCUUUUGGCUUAGAUCAAGUGUAGUAACUGUUCUUUUUAGUUUAAUCUCUAGAACGCCCCUACGGGGGUCUACUACUUUGCUUGUUUUUAGAACCUGAUCGGUGGCCGCUGAGCUCCGCUUAUGUCACUGAUCACAGUGUCGCCUGUAUUGCACUGUCUCGGGCUGAUGCGAACUUAC